UUGAUUGCAUUACCACACCUUAACAUAGAUUUUUUUUUCUCCAUCCAAUCUUAAAAUUUAAAAAACAAAAAUUGGCUUUUAACCAGUUCUUCUUACUCAUCUCCAAACGCCAUCGUUCAAGUGAGUCUUCUUGUCUCCCUCGAGUACUCAUCUGCCAAUAUCUCUCCAUGACAUAAACCUAGUUCUCUCCUAGCAGAAUCAAAUGGCGAUUCGCGCCUUUUCAAGAUCAAGAAUAGCAAAACUCAGUACAGUACUCCUUCAAAAUCUACCAAAUCAACCAAUAAAGCAGAACCCAUUACCUUCAAACCCCCAAAUACCAGCGUCAGAAUUGAAUACAUUAUACAAUCUCUCUUCUGGGUUGAGGCAAUACCACGACGGGAGGCCGAGAGGACCCCUCUGGAGAGGCAAGAAGCUGAUAGGAAAAGAAGCCCUUUUUGUAACUCAAGGAUUAAAGAGGCUUAAAGAUGACGAAGAGAAGCUUCAGAAGUUCAUAAAAACCCAUGUUUUGAGGCUGUUAAAAAUGGACAUGAUUGCUGUCCUCACUGAGCUUGAGCGCCAAGAGGAGGUCUCCUUAGCUCUCAAGAUGUUUCAAGUCAUUCAAAAGCAAGACUGGUAUACGCCCGAUGUCUAUCUCUACAAGGACUUGGUCAUUGCAUUAACAAGAAGUGGAAAAAUGGAUGAAGCAAUGAAGCUGUGGAAAACUAUGAGAAAUGAGAAUUUGUUCCCAGAUUCUCAAAUGUACACAGAAGUCAUUAGGGGCUUCUUGAGGGAUGGCUCUCCUGCUGAUGCAAUGAAUAUAUACGAGGACAUGAAGAAGUCCCCAGAUCCACCAGAGGAAUUACCCUUUAGGAUUUUGUUGAAGGGGCUUUUACCACACCCACUUCUUAGGAGCAGAGUGAAGCAAGAUUAUGAGGAGCUUUUCCCUGAAAAACAUGUUUAUGAUCCUCCAGAAGAGAUAUUUGGCGUGUACUAAGGUAUGCAUGAGGCAUUAUCUAUAUGUUCUUGGUGUCACACUUUGUUUAUGCUUGUUGGGAGAUAUUCAUUAGCAUGUUUGUGGCAUCAGAGACGGCGUUGUAAUAGGGGAGAUAUCAGUACAUCAUCCUCGAAAAAUUACUUGAAGUGAUCACUGAAAAGGAGUACAUGGUGUGAAUUAUUGAUUAACAAAAGAUAACAGAGGAGACUUUGGAUUACAGAAUUGCUUUCAUGUGUAAUGCAAAUAUGAUUCCCUUGUUUUGAUUAAUCCAAAUUCAUUUAUUUGCAGGCAACAACUGAUCCUUCUCUUUACUGAAGGACGUGGUCAUAUCUCGACCGCUUAAAGCUCAUAACAAAUGAUAGGCGAUUAUGGCAUUAUGCACUAUUUUAGAGCGAGGAAAGUCUUUAAUGUUAGGAUGCAUCCCACAUUGCCAUGGUUUCAACUUUUAGAGCUUCAAGCUGUGGAGCUUUUUAAUAAUUUUCCCCUCUAAGGUGGAGCUGAAAGGUGGAGGAUGGGGCAUUCUUUGUUCUGAUUGAACUUAAAACUGUGAUAUACCGAAAAAUUUAAAAUGGAUUUCUUUGGAAUUAAUAAAGAGCUACUGCACUGCUGUUAUGUCUUUAAAUACCUUAUCUGGCAGCUUCUUGUGGAUUCUUUUCAUGUUGGUUUUGAUUGAUGAUUUACUAGUUCAUUUGAACUUGCCAACAUGUCCAUAUUAAUCUUUUGAGCGUUUAAGAGAGAAUUACUAUUGGUGAGAUACAUUUAAACAAUUUUGAUUAGGGAUAUGAAUCGAGCUAAAUUU
rnacentral:misc_RNA from 1 species